rnacentral:lncRNA from 1 species
AGAGUACGCGACGGCGCUCUGCUGCUGGCCUUUCGGCGCUUCGGAAUCUCGAGAGAGCUGGAAGUCUCGCGAUCUUUCCGAAGCCGAACUUCCACGCGGAGUUCGAGCGCGUGUACCAAGGCGGGAGGGCGGAGACUGUGCGGGAGGGAGAAACCCCUUGGCUUCCCCUUACAGACGCCUGCGAGGAAGAGUGGUGUCCACUCCCCGAUUCAGUGUCUCGAUGCCCAGCGCCAGCGCCAGUCGCAAGAGUCAGGAGAAGCCGCGGGAGAUCAUGGACGCGGCGGAAGUGGGUUUCCUCCUUCUCUGGGUUUGGGAGGGCAGAAUCUGGGCCGGACCGCGCUGAGGGAGGGAGUAGGGUAAGCGGGGCCCUGCUGUCGGGCUCCUUACAUUAGCACUUUGUCUGGAUGCUGAGGGCCUAGCGUCCAGGCCUCUGGAACCUCCAUGGGGCCGCCAGGGCCUGAGCAUCGUGGCCAGACCGCAUUUCUCACAGGAUCGCCUGGGAGCCCUGGCCUACAAGGAGGGCGCUCCUGGGGUAGGGUGGAUGUGAAGCACCCUCUGCCAUGGAAGGAGGAGCGGCGGUGUCACAUUGAGCUUGUCUGGGUUAGGCACGUCCUACACGUCAUGCACGCCUCACUCCACCCCCGCCUCGGGAAUAUUUGAUGACCUCUAGUAAUCGAUACGUUCUCAGCCCUCGUAUUCCUAAUGUUUUGCCAAAUAAUAACAGUACUAAGUAAAACCAUUUGCUGUUAUGUUAAAUGACCAUUUUUCCAUGUGACAGCAUUAAAGAACACACGUUAUUUUAUUUUCUGUCAGUGACCCAAUGAGGUAGGUAAUGAAGUUUGUGGAAGAUGCAUUUGAGAUAAACACCCGGCAGUCAUUCAGGCUUUUCAGUAUCAAAGUUUUAAACCAUCCCAAACCUCCAGUUCUGUGUGCUAUAGUAAUAUUGAGCUUUAAGCAAUGCCUGUCUCUUAGUUUCUCUGUUGAGGAAUUUUGAGGUUUUGGUAAGGAACAUAAUAAGGCAUAUCAGAAUAAUAAAUUGAAGAACGGUUGUUGAAAUAUGAAUAGAACUAAUUAGAAGGGGUGACACCUUUAUCUUCACUCUCAUGUAUUUUAUGCUGCCUUUAGGCUUCAUUGUGUGACAGCAUCCUUCCACUGUGGUCCUAGUGAUAUUUGUCCUUGAUGUGUAUUUUUUAAUAUUAGAAAAAAGCAGUUGUUCAAUAUCUUAACAUAUCUGUUUUGGUAUAGACAGAGAAUUCAGGAUUCUCCAAAUCUAAGAGGAUUCCAACAGAUAGCUGUUGAGUUACAAAAACGAAUUGUUUCUUACAGAUCUUAAGUUACCUUGCAAAAAUCUAAGAAAAUUAUUUUUGUGUAUUCUUGAUCUGAUUUAUUAUAUAAACAAGUAGUGCCCCAUUGCAAAUAGCAUGGAUCUAGAUGUAAGGUAAAUAUUUUGGAAGAGUUACAGCUAGAAGGAUCUUUGAGAUAAUUUUAGAGGUAAAGUAAGAUUAAGAGGACACUUACCUAUUUAAUGUUUAGUUUGUUAAUCACCUGGAUCCUUGGUCUGCUAUUUUCUGUUCCUAACUCUACAACUACAAGAAAUUUGAUAAAUUGUCACUGUCUAACCUUGUAACCUGUUGUCCUGAAUCUGAAACCAGGAAGCUGGUGAAUUUUUUAAUGAUAUUUUAUUAAAAGGAAAGUUGUAGUUAGCUAUGUCUUACAUCUCAGAUUUCUAAAAACUGUAGACAUCUGUUACUUGGAAAGCUUACCAAAGCAUUGGUUGUCUUUGAACAUCUCUUCCUGUAAUAGGAAGUUAAUAAAACUGGUACUUCAUCUUACUCCCUUCACAGAGGAAGUUUAUAUUCUACUUUGAAGUAGUUUGAUCUUUUUGAAGAAGGUAGUUAAGUUGUGUUGUACAUGUGUGUAAAUUUUAUCUGAAGGCUAUUAUGUAUGUUAUUUCCAUCCGGAAUUGGUGGUCUCUGAAAUAAACUAACCAGCUAGAUGCUUUUUCUUUUUUCUGUAGAUACAUAUAUAAAUAAAUAACAGAUUUCUAUAUCUAAAAACUGCUGUAUCUGAGUUAAUGAAAUGAUUGUGAAAGUUAAGACAAGUUCAUUUUUUAAUCUGGUUAUUUGUGUUUAUGUGUUUAAAUGAAAAGUCAUGAUGCAAAACUUUUUUUGUAGGAUUAUGCUAAAGAAAGAUAUGGAAUAUCUUCAAUGAUACAAUCACAGGAAAAACCAGGUUAGUAGCUAUGUGAAGUUUUAAGUAG